AGGUCACAAUUAUAACGGGAGCGGCUUCUCUCCACUGCCUUCCCGUUCGCUGCCUGUCCGCUGCCUUCAACGCAGCGCCGUUUAGCUGGGUGAAAUAGGGGUGAUGAGAUGUGAUGGUCUGACACUCGCAUAAAUGGGAGAAGCGGAGAGCCCCAAAGC